UGCAUGGCGGCAAUUCCUCAGGUGUGAACCCAGAGUGGUUAUCAACUAGUAGAUCAGUAUGAUUUGCCUGGAAAGGCUACAGUUCCACUUUUUAUGGACACCCUAUUGCCAUAUUAAAGUGUAUUUUCAAUUUUGUCAAAGAGUUUUCCUGCCAAAGAUAUAAAUGGAGACCCUCGCCUCGUCAUUUUUAUAGGUUACUCUAUGUGUUUCAUAGUUUUUAUGUGUUGUUACAAAUAGGGCCAAGUUUUCCAACUGACAACUUCUCAUUUCCACUGACUCCCACAGGACUCCAUCAAUUAACCAGCAAGGUCUUCUUAACUGCCUCUCCAUCCCUUUCUGUCUCUAGCAACAGGACCUUGUGAUAUUGAAUAGAAGAAAAUGAUAGUUUUCUGCUUUGGCAGCAUCUGUCAUUUAUAGACAAGCACCAUCAUAAAUUUGGCAUACAUCUAUCCAAAUCCAAGAGGCUGAAAUUUAAUAUCCCUCAUAAAAUAAUAGAUUAACUAUAUUUAUGACAAACAUCUUAAGUCUGAAGUUCUGGGGUACAAUCAUGUAGAACAUAAAUGAGUCCCAUCUGUCUAAAGAGAACAGACCAUUAUACUAAGGCUCAUAUUUUCAUGAAAUGUACAUAUAUCAUUAAGACUUUCGAAGUCAAUUUAAAAAAUGGAACUGCCUCCAUCUUUGCCCAUGCACCUUGAAUUUGACAAUAGCAUCUGUCCAGGCAAGGCUGAGGAUUCUUAGGUAGUGAAGAGUUUGUCAUUCUCAGGAAACUAACUUCUGAAACUUUUGAGCAUUUUAUAUUGCUUUGAAAUAAUGCUGAACAUUUUAUUAUUAAUUUCUCCACUUUUGAAAGCUGUUUCUUAGUGUUACUCUAAGAAAAAAUGAACCAAAAGUUGAGACUGAUUUAUGAUUUAUUAAAGAUCUGUUAACUUAUGAUUUACUGGGCAUAUAUUAUAAACCACUCCCAAAAGCAAAACCUUGGAUUUCUCCUUGUUAAAGCUUAUAUCACUAUUAAAAACUUUUCUCAUUUUCAGUCAUAUUUAUUUUAUGUCUUUUGAUUCAUGUAUUUUGAUUACAUUUAUUUACAACCUUUCUGCAUUAAAAAGAUUUUGGAAUAUAAAAGGACUUUGUAUGUACACUGAAUAAUUUUGUAAAUGUGUUACCAUACAUGCCCUUGAGAUUUCAACAGAGGUUAUUACUUAUAUUUUUAUGACAUUCCACUUAUUUGCUUCAAGAAUUCUCUAACAGUGACAUAUUAUUCUGACAUGGAUGGAUGAUCAAAUAGAGCUACUUACUUUGUAGAUUCUGUGGGUAGGGCUCAUGUGCUAGGCAUUUUGGGGGAUUCUGGGUCUGAUUCUGAUGAUGUUUAUAGUCACAAAGUUAGCCUUAUAGUAUAAAGCUUAAAGUGAUUUUCACAGAAAUAAUUCGAAAGUAUAUACCUCUUCCCUGACUCCUUUCUCUGAGACUUAAAUUCACCUCAGGCAUAAUAUUACACAGUAGUGGAUUGGUGCUCUCAUUUCUGUAGACCAGCACUGUCCAAUAAAAUAUCCUGUGAUCAAGAAAAUGGUCUAAAAUCUGUGUGUCCAGUGCAUGUGUGAUUAGCCACAUGUGGCUUUCCAGCAUUUGAAACAUCCCUUGUGCUACUGAGAAAUAGAAUAUUUCAUUUUAUUUAAUUUUAAGUAGCUACACAAGGCUAGUGGCUACUGUAUUGGAUAGGACAUCUCAAAACCAUGGUACUCUUUGCUCUUGUAGAGCAGCUGCUACUCCAGGGAAGGCAGUAAAUUCUCUUAGCCACUCUUUUCUCAUCUGUAAGUGGAAAUAAUGCCCUCCCUACAUCACAGUAGGGUUGUAUGGGUCAAAUAAAGUGAUUGUAAAAGAGCUUCACAAAAUGUAAAUUAUAAUAGAAAUGCCUGUUAUUGAUGUCCUUACAGAUUUUUUUUUCUUGGUCCUCCUAUGGUAUCUGAUUUAGCUACCCUUCUUUCUUCUAUCACUGAGAGAUGACAGCUGCCUCUUACACUGGUCAGCUGUCAUCAUCAUCCAUUAUACUGCACCUAAUAUCCUAUGUUCUAGAAGAACAGAGCCAAGCCUGUUAUACGUAUACAAAAAGCAGUUUUAACAUUGAUACUACUAAUAAUUAACAUGUAGUGGAGUGAUCAUCAUGUGCUUGAUACCAUGCUAAAUAUUUUAUAUAUACUAAUUUAUUUAAUGAUUAUAACAGUGUUCUGAUGGAAACUGGAAAGUGAGACCUUGAGAGGGGAAACAAUGGCCCAGAGUCAUUCAGUUAGAAGGUAGUUUCAAGGCCAGAGUCUCAUCUGGACAGUCCCUCAAAUGUACUACCAUGAUAUGCUACCUUUGGAUGAAGGUUCAUGGACAUUACUGCUUUUGCUUUUUGACAGCUGUUUGAGACUUUUUUUCACUAGAUGACAUUUUUAGAAGUCUGACAUCUCAGAAAGGUGUGCUGUUUCCUCCCCGCCCCACCCUAUUUUACAACUGGUUUUGUUUUUUAAAAAAAUAGGUUGUGAGAGGCUCUGUAUAAGGAUCUACUAACUGGUAUAAUUCUUGAGUACCAUUUAUGUACUUUCUAUCUAUAGCAUAGUAUUAAACAGAAAGGGCUUGAGUUUGAAGUCAGACAGAUUAGCUUUGCCUCUAAUCUCACAUUACCUUCAUUAAGUGAUGCUCACUGAGCUUCUAUUUCCUCAUCUAUAAAAUGAGAGUGCCAAUACAUACCUAGUAGGGCUGUUGUUGGGAUUAAUAAGCUAAUAAAUGUAAGGUGCCCAGCUCAGUGCAUACCACAUAACAGACACUCAAUAAAUGGUAGCCAUAAAAAGCAACCAUUUGUUCAAAAAAAUAUCUAGGCCCUUUCCUUAUUUUGAUUGUACAAUCAUUUAAUGCCAUGCCGGCAUGCAACAGUGACCUGCACUUACAUUCCUUUUUAUGUGUUUGUUUUAUUACCACACAGUAAUUAUUUGAACUUGUGUUUUCAUUUCAGGACAUUAUGGCUUCAUGAGUCUGACUGUCCCAGUGAGACACUUAAGAUGUGGAAGAACCCUUUUGGUCUUCCUUACCUUUUUAUGUAGUGGAGGAAAUGUCUUUAUACUCAUCUUUCCACUGGUUAAUGUGUCUUAUCCAUUAUGUCCCCGGAAGCUUCUGGCACUCCAUCUUGCACACAGUAGUCACACAGCACAUAUUAAAUGAAUAUCAGUAAGUGGAAUUUAAUAGGGGAGGCUCUGGUGCCCUCCCUAGAAUGUGAACAGAGCAAGACGACACUGUGAGCCGGAUGCCUAUUCUACAGGUUGACAGGUUGCUCUAUGUAUAGCUACCUACAUAGCUGUACAUUGGGAUGACCCAACACAUCCCAUCUCCCCAUCUGUGGAGAGAGAAAAUUGGGUGCUACAAGUGGAGAAGCUGGCCUGCCUGGAGCCAGGAAUGAAAGGAUUAGGGAGGAGAGUGUGAUCCAAAUGAGAAACACGCCCCAGCCUAACAAGUUCUUGCUGGCAUUUCUAUCAGUAAAAAAGGAAAAACUUAUCACCCCAUAUAUUUUAUUUCCAAUUUCUUGCAAAAAAAUUUUCUUGGUGUAUGAUUUUUGGUAUUUAUUUUGGCUACUAAUUACUUAGCCUCUAGAAAAGACAUGCUUUGUUUUCUUUCAGAUAUGAAAUGACAUAAAUGCUCAAAGUUUUUAUCACAAUAGAGAUUAUUUUAUUUCUUUCCUUCAAAUAUUUGAAUGUCUGUUAGUAUCUUAUGAUGAUUUUUGCCCAUUUAACUAGUAAAAUGGCCAUAUCUAAGUUAAAAUAACUUGUCUUCCCUAGCACAGUACAUUUGUUCUUAGUUCUCUGUUAACAAGUAAAUACAUUUUACUCAAUGUGGAAAUUCAUAUACUGCAUUUUGAGUUUCAGAAGAGUUACUUGUUUAUUUCUUUCAACCAAAAUUUUACCCAAUCCUGUUAGUAGCCCAUGAGACAUAAUGAUUAAUAUCCAAUAAAAGGUUUCUUAAGUACUUUGAAAAAUCCUUAGCAGCUAUUUUGCUUAUAUUACUUAGGGUAUUUUAAAUUGAGAGAACCCUUUUGAAAGGCAACUUCAUAGAAUAAAUUAAGAACUAUAAUAAUGUUUAUUCCAUUGGGCCAGUUAAUUCCUCUUCCUGUAAUCUGUAUCAAGGAAAUAAUUCUAAAUACAAAGCAAGAAAAAUAAAAUACUGUGUAUUAAGAUGUCCAUUGUAGCAUUUGUAUUAAUGAAAAAUGGAAACAAGAUCAUUAGUACUAGAGGAAUUACUUAAAUAAAAUACUUGUAUUAUGCAGCUUUAAAGUCAAUAAAAGUAGCAACAUGGAAAAAGCUAGUAAUAUAUUAAAUUAAAAAGUUCCAAAGUAUAUUAAAUCAAAAAUUAUAAAAUGGUUUAUUUAUUCAUAUGUUUCAAUGUAUUUAUUGAGCCCCUACUGAAUACCCACCAUCAUGCCAGGCACUGGGCAUAUGAUGGUGAAUCAGACACAUUGAGUCUUAUCUUCAUGAUAGUCUUGUCUUCAUGAUAGUCUUGUCUUCAUGUCUGGAAGGAUAGGCACUGAGCAAGUGAUGACAAGCUUGAUGACACUGACCUCGUCUGGGAAGGACAGUAGGCGUGGGCAGGAGAUUUCAGUUCUCUGUGGCUGCAGAUGAGACAUUAGCCAAGCAAACAGGGGCCCUGGUUUAGGGGUGGGGGCGAAGAGGAUUCUCAUCAGAGAGACCAGUACUUCAUAGGACCUGAGAUGUGAAAGCAUACCUAUUUAAAUAACUCAUGCAAUGAAGGACACUUGGGUACAAGAAAGGGAAUUUAGGAUGUUGGUAAGAGAGUGGUUGAAAUGAUGGGUAAGGACAGAAAUGAAAGCAGAAUGCAAUGAUGGUCAUAAAUGCAGAGGUUCUUAAUCUCUUUUCAUGCCAUCAAUUCCUAUGACUGACUAGUGAAGCUUGGUCUCAGACCAGGUGUUUUUAAAUCUAUAAAAUAUAAAAUACAAAGAAAACCAAUUAUAUUGAAAUACAAUUGUCAGUUUUUUGUAAUGAUAUAUGUUAUGGCAAUAAUGCAUUAAAUAAGGUCUAGCAGUGGGUCUAAUAAUAUCUGUCAUAAUUUUGAAGUGGUGAUGAGUAUAAACAAUAUUUCAAGCAUUCUAUGACAACUGCAAUGUCUGAUAAGUAUAUCUGAUUUGUAUUCAUGACAAAGUUACAGGUACUGCUAGGACUGCUAUAGUUUGUCGCUUUCAUUUAUAAUUGAAGAAAAUUCUAAAUUGCAAUUGAGAUCAAUUUUUAAAAAGAUGUUUUUUGUUAUCCAAGUUCUUGGAUCCCUUGAAUUAAUCUGCCCUUUGGAAAUCCCCAGAGCCCAGGUUAAAACUCCUGUUUAGUAUGACAGUAUUAUGGGUUAUUUUCUCUAUUCUCCAUAUCCUAUGUUACUUUUAUAACAAUUUCUUAUGCCUUGAUGAGGUUUGUAUAUCAUGGGGCACAGAUAGGAUGGCUAAGAAACUCUUAGCCAUUUAUUUUGUAUUACAGUUGUGAUGUUCACAGUUUGCAAUGCAAUUUCAUGUCUAUUUCUUGCUCAGUGCUGUCAUGAUCACAGUCACACAGUUAUAAGUCUCCAGAUAGCAAUAUUCCUAAGAAGCCUGGCUAGCAUGAUACAAAACCCCAGAUAAACUCCUUCGAGUACCCAGGCCUCUUAAAAUAAUGUCACUUUUUAAAGGAGACUUUCUAUGGUCAACAGUCUUUCUCCUGCAACCUAUAGAUCUUAAAUAUAAAGCUGAUUUCAUAAUAAAGCUACUGCAGAUUGAAUUUAGGAAUAAAUGCUAGAUUAGAAAUGUAAAUAUAUAUAUAUAUAUAUAUAUAUAUAUAUGAUUGGCCUUUAGCAAUAUGUUUUUAAAGGAUUACUAGCUUUCUUAUGCAUAGACAGGCUAGCCCCUGCGUGUCUGCAUAGUCUCCUUAGAGUGGGCCCCUAGUUAGGUCCAAAAGAGUGAAGGCUUGGUACCUGCCAAGGGUAGGGAAAAUUAAAUAAUGCCACAGGUCAUAGUAGUUGGAAUUUUUUAAAGCACAUUAUACAUAAAUAUAUCAACCAUGUAAUUGUUGAUAACUCAAAGGAAUAUAGCAUGACAUAAUUUAAAACUGACUGUAUUAGAGUAUUGUAGAGAUGGAUUGUUGGAUUAGAAACCUCUGAUCAAUCUCCAAACAGAAUACCUAUAGUUCUAUGAGAAACCUUGCCAAAAAACAGAACACCAGUUUAAUUGCAAAGAGGAAUGGCUAUAUUUUGGUGAUAUUUUUGUUUUCACAUGUGCUUUAGAUUUUCUGUUAAUGGUACAUGCCUUAGCUGUAUCUUUAUCAGACAUGCAUUGUUUGUCUAUAUGUAGGUUUGUGUAGGAAUCUUAAUAAAGGAGAUAAUGAAAUCCGCAGAUUUGUUCAUUUUAUCAAACAUCAAGAUAUUGGACCUGGCACAAAGGAAUGUGUUUGUUUUUAUGACUCUGUCCUAGUACAUUUCAAGGAGAUCCAUUCUGAAGAGAAUUGUUUCAGCCUCAACUCACAUUAAAUAUUUAUUGCAAAUAUAUAGCCUCGGCAACAAUGAUUAGAGUAAUUUACAGAAUCAACAGCUAAAAUGCAUUUAAAUGUCUAUUCUAUAUAUAUUUGUUUCACUAGUUAUGAUUCAGCUAUUAGCAGUGAAUUUUUCUUGUAUUUUUACUUGUGAGGCUAGAAAGCACUGCCUUCAAUUGGACAUUCCUUACUUCAACAAAAUUAUUGCACACCUAUGGUUUUCUGUAUACUGGGAAUAAAGAUAAAUUAAGACAUGAUUCCAGAACUCAAGACUGUCUCUAUCCUGGUAAUCAUUUUGAAGUGCAAAUAAAUAAUUAUAAUUAAUGUAAGAUCAUAAUAUAAUUAUGUGAAGAGGAGUACGAAAGCAUAGAGCAGGGAAGGAGGGAGGAGGCAGGCUCAGAGUCUAGAAGUAGCAAGAUGAGUAAAGAAGUUUUAUGGUAAUCCAGAGAGAAUAGAUGAGGGCCUGAAAUGAGGCAGUGGCACAAAGUAGAUGCUGAAUAAAUGUCUGCUCAAUGAAAGAGUGAAUAAGGCUGGCAGAAGAGAUAGAAGAUACUAUCAAUAAAUGUUAGUAGUUACUUAAAUGAAGAAGAUAAACAGGGAAGAAUUCAAGACUCAUUGCUGACAGUUAAUAUAUAACUAACUGGUAAUGCCGUUAAUUGAUGUGAGGACUACUUGGAAAUAUCCGUGAAAUGUCUAGAAAUAAAUAUCCUAUAGGCUAUUGCAGGAAAAGGGGUUUUUAACUGGGGAGGAAGGUAGAGAAUUCACCUUGGAUUUAGGAAUCUAUGUCCAUGUGGUAGAGGAGGUCACUGAAAUGAAUUAGAUCAUAUAAUGCCCAAGAGGAGGUCAAGUGUGUGACCUUAAGGAAUGCCAACACUUAGAGGCAGACAGAAGAAUAGAAGCUGAGAAAGGGGGCCUAGAAUGAGCUAACGUAGAGGCUGAAGGAGAAUCUGGAAAGGGAAGUGUUACAGACAUCAAUGGGGAAAAGUGUUGUGGAUAUUAUGGGGAAAAGAUUCAAGAAGAAAUUUGUGCCCAAUGCAAGAGAAGACUGAGGAGAGACCCUUGGCUUUGGCAGGAGGAUAAAGAUGACCAGGAAGAGGAAGGAGAAAGGCCCACUUCACACGCUCACUUCCUGCUCAGCACCAGAGAGAAGACAGAAAGGGGUUGGGGGGAAGCUCCAGGAGUGAACCAAGUCAGGAAAUGACUUGUGGAACGUGGAGGUUUCAGCAUUUUGUAGACAGAAAGAAUCUAAUAGAAAGCAAACAAUUGAAGCUACCAUAGGAAAGAGAGAUAUGAAAGAUAGGGAGGCCAAGUGGAAGGAAGCAUAUACCUUUUCCUCAGAGAUAUGAAGAAAAUAGGUACAGAUGGAAGGAACUGUAACAUCAAGGGUAAUCUCAUCCAGCUUCCUCAUUUCUCUAAGAAAUAGGAGAUGGGACAUUUGCUAAUGAGAGAUUUGGAGUAUUGGUAGGGAACUUAAGAAGGCUAAAGCUCCCAUGGGGAAGCCGACUGAUAUGUAUAUUCCGUUUAUAUAAUCACUUUACCCCUAUUUCUUUCAUUUAUUGACCUCUUCUCCAGGUAUGUAACUUUUCAUUUUAUAUGUUCCUAAUUGAAGCAAAUCUAAUCUAUAUGAUUACAGAAUUUUAAAAUGUAUGUGAUUAUUGCAUUGCCAAGAAAGCUCUGCUUUCCAAAAAAAAAAUAAAA